AGUCGAACGAGAGAGAAGGAGCUUGCUUCUUCGAUCGAGUGGCGAACGGGUGAGUAACGCGUGAGGAACCUGCCUCAAAGAGGGGGACAACAGUUGGAAACGACUGCUAAUACCGCAUAAGCCCACGGGUCGGCAUCGACCUGAGGGAAAAGGAGCAAUCCGCUUUGAGAUGGCCUCGCGUCCGAUUAGCUAGUUGGUGAGGUAAUGGCCCACCAAGGCGACGAUCGGUAGCCGGACUGAGAGGUUGAACGGCCACACUGGGACUGAGACACGGCCCAGACUCCUACGGGAGGCAGCAGUGGGGAAUAUUGCACAAUGGGGGAAACCCUGAUGCAGCGACGCCGCGUGGAGGAAGAAGGUCUUCGGAUUGUAAACUCCUGUUGUUGAGGAAGAUAAUGACGGUACUCAACAAGGAAGUGACGGCUAACUACGUGCCAGCAGCCGCGGUAAAACGUAGGUCACAAGCGUUGUCCGGAAUUACUGGGUGUAAAGGGAGCGCAGGCGGGAAGACAAGUUGGAAGUGAAAUCUAUGGGCUCAACCCAUAAACUGCUUUCAAAACUGUUUUUCUUGAGUAGUGCAGAGGUAGGCGGAAUUCCCGGUGUAGCGGUGGAAUGCGUAGAUAUCGGGAGGAACACCAGUGGCGAAGGCGGCCUACUGGGCACCAACUGACGCUGAGGCUCGAAAGUGUGGGUAGCAAACAGGAUUAGAUACCCUGGUAGUCCACACCGUAAACGAUGAUUACUAGGUGUUGGAGGAUUGACCCCUUCAGUGCCGCAGUUAACACAAUAAGUAAUCCACCUGGGG
rnacentral:rRNA from 1 species